UUAAGCGACUAAGCGUACACGGUGGAUGCCCUGGCAGUCAGAGGCGAUGAAGGACGUGCUAAUCUGCGAAAAGCGUCGGUAAGGUGAUAUGAACCGUUAUAGCCGGCGAUGUCCGAAUGGGGAAACCCAGUGCAAUUCGUUGCACUAUCGUUAACUGAAUACAUAGGUUAACGAGGCGAACCGGGGGAACUGAAACAUCUAAGUACCCCGAGGAAAAGAAAUCAACCGAGAUUCCCCCAGUAGCGGCGAGCGAACGGGGAGCAGCCCAGAGUCUGAAUCAGCUUGUGUGUUAGUGGAACGGUCUGGAAAGUCCGACGGUACAGGGUGAUAGUCCCGUACACCAAAAUGCACAGGUUGUGAACUCGAAGAGUAGGGCGGGACACGUGGUAUCCUGUCUGAAUAUGGGGGGACCAUCCUCCAAGGCUAAAUACUCCUGACUGACCGAUAGUGAACCAGUACCGUGAGGGAAAGGCGAAAAGAACCCCGGCGAGGGGAGUGAAAAAGAACCUGAAACCGUGUACGUACAAGCAGUGGGAGCACCUUCGGGUGUGACUGCGUACCUUUUGUAUAAUGGGUCAGCGACUUAUAUUCUGUAGCAAGGUUAACCGUAUAGGGGAGCCGCAGGGAAACCGAGUCUUAACUGGGCGUUAAGUUGCAGGGUAUAGACCCGAAACCCGGUGAUCUAGCCAUGGGCAGGUUGAAGGUUGGGUAACACUAACUGGAGGACCGAACCGACUAAUGUUGAAAAAUUAGCGGAUGACUUGUGGCUGGGGGUGAAAGGCCAAUCAAACCGGGAGAUAGCUGGUUCUCCCCGAAAGCUAUUUAGGUAGCGCCUCGUGAAUUCAUCUUCGGGGGUAGAGCACUGUUUCGGCUAGGGGGUCAUCCCGACUUACCAACCCGAUGCAAACUACGAAUACCGAAGAAUGUUAUCACGGGAGACACACGGCGGGUGCUAACGUCCGUCGUGAAGAGGGAAACAACCCAGACCGCCAGCUAAGGUCCCAAAGUCAUGGUUAAGUGGGAAACGAUGUGGGAAGGCACAGACAGCCAGGAUGUUGGCUUAGAAGCAGCCAUCAUUUAAAGAAAGCGUAAUAGCUCACUGGUCGAGUCGGCCUGCGCGGAAGAUGUAACGGGGCUAAACCAUGCACCGAAGCUGCGGCAGCGACACUAUGUGUUGUUGGGUAGGGGAGCGUUCUGUAAGCCUGCGAAGGUGACCUGUGAGGGUUGCUGGAGGUAUCAGAAGUGCGAAUGCUGACAUAAGUAACGAUAAAGCGGGUGAAAAGCCCGCUCGCCGGAAGACCAAGGGUUCCUGUCCAACGUUAAUCGAGGCAGGGUGAGUCGACCCCUAAGGCGAGGCCGAAAGGCGUAGUCGAUGGGAAACAGGUUAAUAUUCCUGUACUUGGUGUUACUGCGAAGGGGGGACGGAGAAGGCUAUGUUAGCCGGGCGACGGUUGUCCCGGUUUAAGCAUGUAGGCUGGUUGUCCAGGCAAAUCCGGAUAAUCAAGGCUGAGGUGUGAUGACGAGGUACUACGGUGCUGAAGUAACAAAUGCCCUGCUUCCAGGAAAAGCCUCUAAGCAUCAGGUAACAUUAAAUCGUACCCCAAACCGACACAGGUGGUCAGGUAGAGAAUACCAAGGCGCUUGAGAGAACUCGGGUGAAGGAACUAGGCAAAAUGGUGCCGUAACUUCGGGAGAAGGCACGCUGGUGUGUAGGUGAAGUCCCUGCGGAUGGAGCUGAGACCAGUCGAAGAUACCAGCUGGCUGCAACUGUUUAUUAAAAACACAGCACUGUGCAAACACGAAAGUGGACGUAUACGGUGUGACGCCUGCCCGGUGCCGGAAGGUUAAUUGAUGGGGUUAUCCGUAAGGAGAAGCUCUUGAUCGAAGCCCCGGUAAACGGCGGCCGUAACUAUAACGGUCCUAAGGUAGCGAAAUUCCUUGUCGGGUAAGUUCCGACCUGCACGAAUGGCGUAAUGAUGGCCAGGCUGUCUCCACCCGAGACUCAGUGAAAUUGAACUCGCUGUGAAGAUGCAGUGUACCCGCGGCAAGACGGAAAGACCCCGUGAACCUUUACUAUAGCUUGACACUGAACAUUGAGCCUUGAUGUGUAGGAUAGGUGGGAGGCUUUGAAGCGUGGACGCCAGUCUGCGUGGAGCCAACCUUGAAAUACCACCCUUUAAUGUUUGAUGUUCUAACGUUGGCCCCUUACCGGGGUUGCGGACAGUGUCUGGUGGGUAGUUUGACUGGGGCGGUCUCCUCCCAAAGCGUAACGGAGGAGCACGAAGGUUAGCUAAUCCUGGUCGGACAUCAGGAGGUUAGUGCAAUGGCAUAAGCUAGCUUGACUGCGAGCGUGACGGCGCGAGCAGGUGCGAAAGCAGGUCAUAGUGAUCCGGUGGUUCUGAAUGGAAGGGCCAUCGCUCAACGGAUAAAAGGUACUCCGGGGAUAACAGGCUGAUACCGCCCAAGAGUUCAUAUCGACGGCGGUGUUUGGCACCUCGAUGUCGGCUCAUCACAUCCUGGGGCUGAAGUAGGUCCCAAGGGUAUGGCUGUUCGCCAUUUAAAGUGGUACGCGAGCUGGGUUUAGAACGUCGUGAGACAGUUCGGUCCCUAUCUGCCGUGGGCGCUGGAGAAUUGAGGGGGGCUGCUCCUAGUACGAGAGGACCGGAGUGGACGCAUCACUGGUGUUCGGGUUGUCAUGCCAAUGGCACUGCCCGGUAGCUAAAUGCGGAAGAGAUAAGUGCUGAAAGCAUCUAAGCACGAAACUUGCCCCGAGAUGAGUUCUCCCUGAGACUUUAAGUCUCCUGAAGGAACGUUAAAGACGAUGACGUUGAUAGGCCGGGUGUGUAAGCGCAGCGAUGCGUUGAGCUAACCGGUACUAAUGAACCGUGAGGCUUAACCUU
rnacentral:rRNA from 1 species